UUUUCAUUAAAACGUGUUCGUAAUGUUUGCAGAACCAUCACAGGCACCAUCCUGAAGAAGGAUGGGUGCAGCUGUGGGAGUGGCUGCUCAUGUGACCCAUGCAACUGCUAAGUGAACAAGAUGCCCAAACGACAACAACAAAGCUUCUUAUCCAUAGAAUAAACAGAAUUUGGUGUUCUUUUUCUUGUUCUUUUUCUUGAAAUGUGUAGUGUGAAGUGAAGUGUGUGAUGUUGCUUUGUUGUGUGGGUGGGCAAUUGGGGUUCAUAUCAGCUCAUCAAAGUUUCUAUGUGUGUUUGAAUUUAUGUUUUAUAUCAAUAUUUGUUUCGUGUUGUA